AACGCGAAGAACCUUACCUACCCUUGACAUCCUGCGAACCUGGCUGAGAGGCUGGGGUGCCGAAAGGAGCGCAGAGACAGGUGCUGCAUGGCUGUCGUCAGCUCGUGUUGUGAGAUGUUGGGUUAAGUCCCGCAACGAGCGCAACCCCUGUGAACUGUUGCCACGGAACCGAGAGGUUCCAGCACUCUGUUCAGACUGCCUCGCUUAAACGAGGAGGAAGGUGGGGACGACGUCAAGUCAGUAUGGCCCUUACGGCCUGGGCUGCACACGUACUACAAUGCCCAGUACAGAACGAUCCGAGACCGCGAGGUGGAGGAAAUCACUUAAAACUGGGCCCAGUUCGGAUUGGAGGCUGCAAUUCGCCUCCAUGAAGUUGGAAUCGCUAGUAAUGGCGCAUCAGCUACGGCGCCGUGAAUACGUUCCCGGGCCUUGUACACACCGACGCGUA
rnacentral:rRNA from 1 species